rnacentral:rRNA from 1 species
AGUGAACGCUGGCGGUAGGCCUAACACAUGCAAGUCGAACGGCAGCACAGUAAGAGCUUGCUCUUACGGGUGGCGAGUGGCGGACGGGUGAGGAGUACAUCGGAAUCUACUUAUUCGGGGGGGCUAACGUAGGGAGACUUACGCUACUACCACAAACGCCCUACGGAUGAAAGCAUGGGCUCUUCGGACCUUGCGCGAUUGAAUGAGCCGAUGUCGGAUUAGCUAGUUGUCGGGGUAAUGGCCCACCAAGACGACGAUCAGUAGCUGGUCAGAGAGGCUGUUCACCCACACUGGAACUGGGACGCGGUCCAGACUCCUACGGGAGGGAGCAGUGGGGAAUAUCGGAGAAAGGGCGCAAUCCUGAACCAGGCAUACCGCGUGGGUGAAGGAGGCCUCCGGGUUGUAAAGCUCUUUUGUUGGGAGAGAAAAGCAGCAGGUUAAUACCCCGCUGUUCUGACGGUACCCAAAGAAUAAGCACCGGCUAACUUCGUG